UACCUUUUUUGCAUGUAUCAAACAGUUUCCUUUCUUACACGUAUCAAACAGUUUGCUUGUGGCGGUCCUGUGAAGGAGAAGAUGGUCCUUACUGACUUGCCAGUGCGACGGGCAGCUUCACGAGUAGUUAUAUCGGUGCAGAUGUGCUAGCAUGUGAUCACCAAGAAGAGGCUGCCAAUCACAUGUACAAGAAAGACGCGUGGUGCCUUGGUCAGCAUGAGAAGUGGCCCUCCUUGCAAGACAAACAAAAGAUGGACUUGGCUGGCCAACUGAACCUUUUAAGUCAACCCUACUAAUAAACCAGCCUGUAAAUGAAGCCACUGAUGUGAUUAAAGUACGUGUCCAUUUCUGGUUGUCUCUCAAUCCUAGGUAGCUAUGUCCAACUUGCAAGGAGAGAUCAAAAGCCCAUGCCAUUACAUUAUCAUAGGGCUAGU
rnacentral:lncRNA from 1 species